rnacentral:lncRNA from 1 species
UUGUGGUGGCUGAGUCGUGAGCUCACUCCCCAUGUCUGAUCUGAUUUGUGUUUCUUUGUUUUCUUUUAGACCCUGGAGUAAGUGACCUGUAAAUAGUCACACUGGAGGUUUUCUAAAGGCCUUCCUUGCUUCUGUGACAGUGUAUGGACAUUGACAUUGGGAAGCCCAGCAGACAAAAGACGGAGAAUAGGGACCACCACAGCUAAAGAAGAGAGAGAAGAAUAUGCCAUGGCUGAGGGGAUGAUUGCUUCUCAAAGUGGUAAGCAGCAAACAUUUACAGUCUCUUAGCUGUUUUGUUCCAAAUUCCAUUUUGAACGUUUUCAUUACUUUUGCGUCAGGCAGAGAGAAA